GAUGAACGCUGGCGGCGUGCUUAACACAUGCAAGUCGAACGAAGCAUUUGCGACAGAUUUUUUCGGAAUGAAGUUGCUUAUGACUGAGUGGCGGACGGGUGAGUAACGCGUGGGUAACCUGCCUUGUACUGGGGGAUAGCAGCUGGAAACGGCUGGUAAUACCGCAUAAGCGCACAAUGUUGCAUGACAUGGUGUGAAAAACUCCGGUGGUAUAAGAUGGACCCGCGUCUGAUUAGCUAGUUGGUGAGAUAACAGCCCACCAAGGCGACGAUCAGUAGCCGACCUGAGAGGGUGACCGGCCACAUUGGGACUGGGACACGGCCCAGACUCCUACGGGAGGCAGCAGUGGGGAAUAUUGCACAAUGGAGGAAACUCUGAUGCAGCGACGCCGCGUGAGUGAAGAAGUAAUUCGUUAUGUAAAGCUCUAUCAGCAGGGAAGAUAGUGACGGUACCUGACUAAGAAGCUCCGGCUAAAUACGUG
rnacentral:rRNA from 1 species